rnacentral:rRNA from 1 species
UACGUAGGGGGCAAGCGUUGUCCGGAUUUAUUGGGCGUAAAGCGCUCGCAGGUGGUUCGUUGCGUCGUGCGUGAAAGACCCCGGCUCAACUGGGGGAUGUCGUGCGAUACGGGCGGACUGGAGGCCAGUAGGGGGAUGCGGAAUUCCGGGUGUAGUGGUGGAAUGCGUAGAGAUCCGGAGGAACACCAGCGGCGAAGGCGGCAUCCUGGACCGGCCCUGACACUGAGACGCGAAGGCGUGGGGAGCGAACGGG